UCUCUUCUGUGUAAACGGAAGUGAACAGUGACCAAGAACAAUUUCCACAUUUGCGUUUUUAUUUGGACGUUUAUUGACACCAUGGAAAUCAAAAUAUGACAAAUUUAACCGCACAGCAUCACAUACUUAGCCCAUAUAGUCUUUAAUUCUCGUUGGAUAUAGGACUUAGUUGAUAGAUGUUAUCUACCUAGCUGCUAACAAUGGCUAACUGUUUGGUUUUUCACACUCAAAUAGCCUCCAUUAUGGAGGUGCUUGCGAAUGCAGCCGUGGCAGACAUUUGUAAACUCGUAGACGACGACUAUGCAGUGUUUCGUUUGGAAAUUUCUCAAAGCCAGAAAGAAAACAAGACAUUGCGGAGGAAACUACAGCUGCUGGAACUGAAGGUGGCACGGGACCGCGUCCCCGCCAGUCAUCCCAGUAGUGUCAAGAUCCUCGACCGAUACCGAAGCAUAGCAAGAGGUGAAGGACAUCUCACUGGAGGCCACAGGAGGGUUGUGAAGCCAGCACGACACAAUACAUGGAGAGAUGACCGACCAAUCACUGUUGAUGAGAGUGGAACCUCAACCCAGCACGUCAUCAUGAUAGAGUCUGCAGAUGCAGAAGCUGCAGGUCCUGGGGUUAAGCAGGAGAGGUCUGAAGGAGAGGAUGACCCACGGCACAGUAGAGACAUCCAGACUGGAGUGCCCCCUGUAGCCACGGAGGACCCCAACACUGCCCCAGCACAGCCCAGGAGCCGACACAGCAUCACGGAGGUCAGUGGAAAGCCGAACACCGUCCUCAAGUCAGAGACCGAUACAAAGACUUUAACGGUGCUGGAGCGACUGGGCUGUACUCCUGCUCCCCGCUCAGAGUAUUUACUUCGCGGUAACCUGAGCCCGAGGACGGUUCUGUCCCAUCGGGACUCAGGUGACACGCUACAGACUGGCAAUGAUCUGUCCUGUUCAUAUGCUACAGAGACAGAGAUGAUACCUGGUGACAUGCCUGUGGGCUUUGAUACACAGACGAAUCCAAUGAGAGGGGACUGGAACCAGUACAGUACAAGUGUAUACUCUGAAGGGUGCCUAGAUAAGAAAGGGGCGGGUCUGGUCGAAGAUGAGGUGACUGUGAAAGUGGAGGGUGACACUCCUCUGAUAUGGAAUCCAGACGAAACUCACUUAGGAGAACAACACUCACAGGGCAACAAUAGUGACUUCUUAGAUUACAGGAAAAGAUUAGAGACAAAUCUAAAUGUCGCGACCCACUCUCCUUUACACGUGUUCAGGGAAUGCGACCCAGUGUCCAUGUCGAUGGGGCCUUCUGAUUCACACGGCCACGUCCUUUUUGAUCAGGUAUUGAACUCAAACGACAGGGUUAGAGCCCAGGUACAGGGAGGGGGCGCAACAUCAGGCAAUAGUAAAGACAAACCGUUCCUCUGCAUGUUCUGUAACAAAGGCUUCAGCUGCCUCCAGAAGGUGGAGAUUCACCAGAGGGUCCACACAGGGGAGAAACCCUUCAACUGUACCCAGUGUCAUAUGCGCUUCGCUGAGGCUGGCAACCUGAAGAGACACCAGAGGGUCCACACAGGCGAGAAACCGUUCGUCUGCCACCUUUGCCGGGCCAGUUUCUCACACUCGUUCAACCUGAAAAGGCAUCAGAGGGUCCACACAGGUGAGAACUCUACAGCGGCCCCCAGUGUGAGAAGAGAUUCUCCCACCAGCACCGGCAGAAAAUGCACCUGAAGGUCCACACGGGGGAAAGAGUUUCUCGGAGAGGAGCUACCUCAGGAUACACCAGCAGAACAACCAUUCAACUGGAUAGCUGCUGACAUUUAGAUCAAACCCUGCAUGAAAGACAAAGUUGAAUUUUCAUUGUUGUCAGCAGAAAAUAUCCACAGAUGCAUCUGGAAUAACGAGAGUGACAGAUUUCAAUGUUCAAUAUUUCUGGGUAGAAUAUUGCAUCCAGACAUUGUGUGAUAUAUAUACAGUGAGGAGAACAAGUAUUUGAUACACUGCCGAUGUUUCAAGUUUUCCUACUUACAAAGCAUGUAGAGGUCUGUAAUCUUUAUCAUAUCAUCACUUCAACUGUGAGAGGCUUAAUCUAAAAUCCAGAAAAAUCACAUUGUAUGAUUUUUAAGUAAUUAAUUUGCAUUUUAUUGCAUGACAUAAGUAUUUGAUACAUCAGAAAAGCCUAACUUAAUAUCUGGUACAGAAACCUUUGUUUGCAAUUACAGAGAUCAUACAUUUCCUGUAGUUCUUGACCAGGUUUGCACACACUGCAGCAGGGAUUUUGUCCCACUCCUCCAUACAGACCUUCUCCAGAUCCUUCAGGUUUCGGGGCUGUCGCUGGGCAAUAUGGACUUUCAGCUCCCUCCAAAGAUUUUCUAUUGGGUUCAGGUUUGGAGACUGGCUAGGCCACUCCAGGACCUUGAGAUGCUUCUUACGGAGCCACUCCUUAGUUGCCCUGGCUGUAUGUUUUGGGUUGUUGUCAUGCUGGAAGACCCAGCCACGACCCAUCUUCAAUGCUUCACGGUUGGGAUGGUGUUCUUGGGGUUGUACUCAUCCUUCUUCUUCCUCCAAACACGGCAAGUGGAGGUUAGACCAAAAAUGGCCUUCUCCCAUUCCUCCUCUGGAUCAUCCAGAGGGUCAUUGGCAAACUUCAGAUGGGCCUGGACAUGCGCUGGCUUGAGCAGGGGGACCUUGCGUGCGCUGCAGGAUUUUAAUCCAUGACGGCGUAGUGUGUUACUCAUGCUUUUCUUUGAGACUGUGGUCCCAGCUCUCUUCAGGUCAUUGAACAGGUCCUGCCGUGUAGUUCUGAGCUGAUCCCUCACCUUCCUCAUGAUCAUUGAUGCCCCACGAGGUGAGACCUUGCAUGGAGCCCCAGACCGAGGGUGAUUGACCGUCAUCUUGAACUUCUUCCAUUUCACAAUAAUUGCGCCAACAGUUGUUGCCUUUUCACCAAGCUGCUUGCCUAUUGUCCUGUAGCCCAUACCAGCCUUGUGCAGGUAUACAAUUUUAUCCCUGAUGUUCUUGCAUAGCUCUCUGGUCUUGGCCAUUGUGGAGAGGUUGGAGUCUGUUUGAUUGAGUGUGCGGACAGGUGUAUUUUAUACAGGUAACGAGUUCAAACAGGUGCAGUUAAUACAGGUAAUGAGUGGAGAACAGGAGGGCUUCUUAAAGAAAAACUAACAGGUCUGUGAGAACCGAAAUACUUACUGGUUGGUAGGUGAUCAAAUACUUAUGCCAUGCAAUAAAAUGCAAAUUAAUUACUUAAAAAUCAUCAUACAAUGAUUUUCUGUUUUUUUGUUUUAGAUUCCGUCUCUCACAGUUGAAGUUUACCUAUGAUAAAAAUGACAGACCUCUACAUGCUUUUCUGUAGAUGAAGUGGCUGCAGGUCCUGGAGGAUCGUCUCUGGUCAAGCAGAAGAGGACUGAAGGAGAGGAGGACCCACGACACAGCAGAGACAUCCAGACUGGAGCAGCGUCUGGAGCACCCUCCUGUAGCCACAGAGCACCUCGCCUCGCAGCCCAGGACCCAACACAGCAUCACAGAGUGUCUCACGCCACAGAUGAUGUAAGACAUGCGAGGUGAGACAGGAUGUCGAAUGGUGCCAGAGAGGAUGAUGCGUUACCACCACCAACAGCAUGGGAGGACAAUGACCCAACACACCUCCAUGCUGUGUAAGGGAUAUUUGAUCAAGAAGGAGAGUGAUGGAGUGCUGCAUCAGAUCACCUGGCCUCCACAAUCAUCAAUCACAAUCACCCAAUCUCAAACCAAUUGAGAUGGUUUGGGAUGAGUUGGACCACAGAGUGAAGGAAAAGCAGUGCUCAGCAUAUAUGGGAACUGCUUCAAGCAUUCCUCAUGGAGCUGGUUGAGAGAAUGCCAAGAGUAUGCAUAGCAGUCAUCAAGGCAAAGGGUGGCUACUUUGAAGAAUCUCAAAUAUAAAAUAUAUUUUGAUUUGUUUAA